GAUGAACGCUGGCGGCGUGCUUAACACAUGCAAGUCGAACGGAAAGGCUCCUGCUUGCCGGGGUACUCGAGUGGCGAACGGGUGAGUAACACGUGGGUGAUCUGCCCUGCACUUCGGGAUAAGCCUUGGAAACUGGGUCUAAUACCGGAUAGGACGAUGGUUUGGAUGCCAUUGUGGAAAGUUUUUCGGUGUGGGAUGUGCUCGCGGCCUAUCAGCUUGUUGGUGGGGUAAUGGCCUACAAAGGCGUCGACGGGUAGCCGGCCUGAGAGGGUGUACGGCCACAGUGGGACUGGGAUACGGCCCAGACGGCUACGGGAGGCAGCAGUGGGGAAUAGUGCACACUGGGCGCAAGGCGGAUGCAGCGACGCCGCGUGGGGGAUGACGGCCUUCGGGUUGUAAACUCCUUUCGCUAGGGACGAAGCGCAAGUGACGGUACCUGGAGAAGAAGCACCGGCUAACUACGU
rnacentral:rRNA from 1 species